CCCGCUGAACUUAAGCAUAUCAAUAAGCGGAGGAAAAGAAACUAACAAGGAUUCCCCUAGUAACUGCGAGUGAAGCGGGAGAAGCUCAAAUUUAAAAUCUGUCAGUCUUUGGCUGUCCGAGUUGUAAUCUAGAGAAGUGUUAUCCGCGCUGGACCGUGUACAAGUCUCCUGGAAUGGAGCGUCAUAGAGGGUGAGAAUCCCGUCUUUGACACGGACUGCCAGGGCUUUUGUGAUGCGCUCUCAAAGAGUCGAGUUGUUUGGGAAUGCAGCUCAAAAUGGGUGGUAAAUUCCAUCUAAAGCUAAAUAUUGGCGAGAGACCGAUAGCGAACAAGUACCGUGAGGGAAAGAUGAAAAGCACUUUGGAAAGAGAGUGAAACAGUACGUGAAAUUGUUGAAAGGGAAACGCUUGAAGUCAGUCGCGUCGUCCGAGACUCAGCCUCGCCUCGGCUUGGUGUACUUCUCGGAUGACGGGUCAGCAUCAAUUUUGCCCCUUGGAUAAUGGCGAGGGAAAUGUGACACCUUUGCGGGUGUGUUAUAGUCUCUAGUCGCAUGCAAGGGUCGGGAUUGAGGAACUCAGCACGCGCCUUCGGGCGUCGGGGUUCGCCCACGAUACGUGCUUAGGAUGUUGGCGUAAUGGCUUUAAACGACCCGUCUUGAAACACGG
rnacentral:rRNA from 1 species